rnacentral:rRNA from 1 species
ACCAGCAGCCAUAUCACCCUGCAGCCCAAGACUCGUUGCCCACUGAAGCUAAGCAGGGUUGAGCCUGGUCAGUGCCUGGAUGGGAGACCUCCUGGGAUAAACUAGGUUGCUGCUGGAA